rnacentral:rRNA from 1 species
UACGGGGGGGGCAAGCGUUGUUCGGAAUUACUGGGCGUAAAGGGCUCGUAGGCGGCCAACUAAGUCGAACGUGAAAUCCCUCAGCUUAACUGGGGAACUGCGUCCGAUACUGAUUGGCUUGAAUCCGGAAGAGGGAUGCGGAAUUCCAGGUGUAGCGGUGAAAUGCGUAGAUAUCUGGAGGAACACCGGUGGCGAAGGCGGCAUCCUGGGUCGGUAUUGACGCUGAGGAGCGAAAGCCAGGGGAGCAAACAGG